AGUUUCUCCUCUGGUUUUCAGGUGCUGAUUGUGUCAGAAAUGUUGGAAAUGGCCCAGUUUAUUGGAUUUGCUUCAGCACCCUGAUGUCCAGAGACAGGGAUCCUCUGACCUACCUCAACAGAGAUUGGCUGAUUGUGAGCCCGUCUCAGGAUUUCUUUUAUCAUUUGCCCUGGAUUUGAAGUGCCUUGAGACAACAUGUUGUGAAUUGGCGCUAUAUAAAUAAAACUGAAUUGAAUUGAUUUAAUUUACCCAGUUGAAUUUUCUUAUUGAAUAACUGGGGUAAUAACAAUAGUACAACAACGUCUGAGCCGUUCAGCAGCAGCCCCAACUGUAACUUCCUAUGUCGAGCUAUAAACCCAGAUGACCUGUUCCCCAAUGGAGACUCAGGCUCUUCAGACUUCAAAUUUGACCUGAAUGGUUCUUUUGGGAGCCCAAUUAUUGACCUCCAGAAAAACUGGUCCAGAACAGAUUCCUGGAAGCAGGAGGAUAAGUUUCCUUCGUGGAGUGGCAGAGAUGGUACAACAGGGAGAGUUGUUUAAAGAGUGAAUGAUGUCUGGACGCUGAGAGACUCUCCAGAUGAGUACAGCUCAUACCUACACACAGCCGACAGCACAGUGAUACUGGACUCUACGUUCAGUUACAGCCCCGUCCUGCAGCAGCCAGUCAACAGUCACACAUCCUCCCAUCCUGUGAGCUACAACGACCUCCAGCAUCCUUAGAGCUGUACAUCAACAGUUGUAGCCCACCCACAGACAUCAUGUGGGAUCGUAUUUAUGACUGUAUCACCGGUACUGGAGGGACGGGAGCAGGUUCAUCUUAUGGACCCAGGUUUUGGAGAGUGCUAACACCAAUGAAGAGGGGGCGGCUGAGCUUUGAGAGGGUACCCAGCAGAAAAGAUGGACAGACGAGGCUUAAACUGUUUUAAUGACUUUAUGGAAAAAAGGUUUUUGUUCAGGAAACAUUUCAUCAUCUAUUAACAGCGUAUUAAUGUUGCCAGUGUUACCGUGUUCCAUAUUUAAGAGUUUGAUCUUUUCGUGUUUCCUCUUUUAAAAAUGUAAUGAAACUGAGUGGAUUCAGUUAGCUGUAAUAUAAAACGGCUAGCUGAUAUAUGAUUGUAAUUUAAAGACUUUUCCAGAACGGGUCUCAUGCUUUAGGAUUUAAUAAACUGAGACCUAUCUU